UGAGACAUGAUGCUCUGGCCUCUUUGGAUUUCAGCCUCACUCUGACAAAACCAACAAAGACUGACAGUGGCAACUACACCUGCUCCAUCAGUGAUGGGAGAGAAGAACGGAGACUGAGCGAUAUCCAGCUGCAAGUCAAAGCCUUGCCUACUAUAAAGUUAAUGGAACCCAUCAACACCAGUGUUCACUUGGAGGACAUAUCACCAGACCUUGACAGGCUGAAAAAUACGCUCAAAGAGUACGAGAGGUCGAUGAAAGAGAUCAGUGGCUGUUCAAAAGCUACUGUCGCCGUUGGAGGGCUUAUUGCGACGUUGAUUGUGAUCAUUCUAGGGUUUAUGUAAAUAUGAUCGCCACUUGGCUUGUAUGUGUUUAUGUCAAGUGUGGAAAUAAAACAAAAUAUAUCAUUGCUUACAUGGCUUUUAUUAGUGCCACUUUAGUAAAACUUUUAUUAAAUGCGUAGUUGUAGUUAUUUUUAUACACACAUUUCAAAUGCGCUCAUAAAGAGUUGGCGCUCAGUCCUUUUAAGGUCCUAAGCUUCGUCUGGCGUGAAUGUCCAGACGAUAUAUUGUGUAAGGUGACUUGGAGCGCAAGAAGGCCAAUGCAAGCAUGCUUACAGACACAAAUAAGUUCUAGGUCAGAGAUGAGAGAUACAUUUAGCUUGUAACUGCAUUUGUGCUUGCAUAGCAACAGUUGAUGCAGGAGGUGUUAAAGAUAAGCAUGAAAAGAACAAGUCAACGAGAAACAUCUGGAGGGUGAGACGGUUGAAACAAACAGCCAUGCAUGGUAAAAAUGUUGCAGAUAAUGGAAACUUGUCUGUCAUUAACUGUAACUGAUGCAUAUUAUCUGCUUUGCUGACGCAAGAAGGGGGUAAACCCUGACAUAUCAAAACCAAGUGUGCUUUUUAGCGGAGAUCUACGCUGAUGAUGCUACAGUGUACAUCUCCCCACACGUGUCUUCAAUAAAAUCAUUGUUUGACUGAACUCAUCUGGACCAGUUUUUGUUUGCUUUCAUCCUCAAUAUAAAAGAAUCAGGACACAAGGCACACCUUACCGUUUUUUGUUAUGUGUGUCUUGCAUUGUCUGUACGUAUUACUAUGUACCCCUGUGCGUGUCCCUACCUGUAUAACAUAUAAGCUGUGUCAAUAAAAGAA